AUGGCACUGCAGCUUCUGUCCUGCCCUCUCUCUCCUAAGGCCCUCGCUCAGCCAGGAGGCCGUGGCUGUCUGGGUAGUGAGGCAGAAACCUCCAGGCACGGCCUCACCAGCGAGCUCAGAAACUGGUCCUGCAGGGCCAGCUGCCCGGCCAGCAGCCUCAGCCAGACUCACCAAGCCAAGGCCCAAGCCCAGACACAUGGAGGUCCCUGCUCCUCGUCACGGGACAGCUUGUCACGAAGCCAGGAGAGCUGCUGCCAGAGCUUCAGAGGCUCUUGUGCUUUUCUUCUGAGAGCCCUUAGGUUCUCAGUGGAUGCGGACCUCGGAAAGGUACUGCCCAGCGCCGUUUCGCGGAUGAAGCUGCAGACUGUUCACUUUUUAAGUUGCAAAUGGACUGUGUUCAUUAGACCUUUCACUAUUUAGAUAUCGGGGCUCAUCUGAGAGCGAGAAGUCUUCAUUCUCCCAGGUCUGCGUUUCCUUCCAGCCCCUCAUGCAACUCACAUAAAAAUAGGGGCUCGGAGAGAUUCGAUCCUGCGCACCAUACAGCGAGUGGCCUGAUGUUACCCAUGACUGAAUUGCAUCUGCAGAAAGCAAGUUUGGACAUCUAAAAAGGGCCAUUUGGGGCGGGGGAUUUGGCUCAGUGGUUCCCCCACAGCCUGCCUCCCAAGCAUGAGGUCCAGAGUUCGAUCCCCGGUACCAAAAAAAGAAAAUAAAAAGGGCCACGUAUCUGUUGAAUUGAACUGAGAUGUGAGAAAUUUCGCUGUAAACUAAUAACUAUUGUUAUUAUUCUAUAAUAUUUUGAGUGUUUACUAAGGGCUCUUUUCUAAGCCUUUAAGGUACAUUAUUCAGUUAAGCUUUUACAAAUAAAGAAACUGAGGUUCAAGGAUAUCCAGCUAGGAAGUGGCAAAGGCAAGAUUUGCAUCCAGGGCCCCCCCAAAAAAAUUUAAAAAUUAAGUAGCUGGGCCUGGGGGGGGGUCCACGCCUAUAAUCUGAGUACUCUGGGAGGCCAAAGCAAGAGGAUCGCUGAGAGUUGGAGGCCAGCCUGAAUUACAGAGCAAGACCCUGUCUCAAAACAGCAAACCAAAAAAAAAAAAUUAAAGAAAAAAGAAAAAAAGAUUUGUACCCAGCAAACUGACUCCAGGCCACUCUGUUAACCUUUAUAAAUAAACUUAAAAUAGAGAGAGGAAGUCUCCCAUAUUAGAACUUAACAUUUGUUCCCCUUCCUCUGUUAGAUUUUUAAAUAUUACACAUCAAAUACGACAUACUACUCAGCUCCUGAUUUCAAAGUUUCUUCCUAUUAAGGACUGGUUAUCACCCCGAUCUUUUUUCUUCUUUCUUUUUCUCUGUGCUCUACUUCCUCAACACUCUUCCUUUAACCCAAGUGGCUGUCUCAGACCAGGAAGAUUAAGAAGCCAUGAAUAACUCUUCUGUAAAUUAUUCUACAGGAAGUUCAGCCUGAUCCAAUCCAGCUUGUCAGUGGUGAAGGCUUUGUCAGGGGUUUCUCAGCAGAGCAGGACUGGGUCAGCUCCUGCUGGCCCCCUCCUUGUGCAAGAGACCCUGCAGGAAGUGCUUAAACCGCAAUCUUAAACCAUGAGUCAUUGAUCAACUCCCCUACUUUUUUAUUUUGAGGCAAAGCCUCACUACAUUGUUAAAUUGCCAAGACUGGGCUGGAACUUGAGGUCUUCCUACCUCAGUCUCCCGGAGUGCUGGGAUUACAGGUGUCCACCACCAUGCUAGACUCCUAUUUUUUGUUUGUUUAUUUAUUUUAUUUGUUUUGUGUUUUUUGGAGACAGGGUCUCACUGUGUAGUUCAGGCUGGCUUUGAACUCACUAUGUGGCCCAGGCUGGCCUCAAACUCAUAUCAAUCUUCCUGCCUCAGCCUCCCGAGUGCUGGGAUUACAGGUAUGUGCCACCACACCUGGCUCCAAAUUUUUAUAUUCCAUUAUUAUUUUUUUAAUUGUUCCCAGGGAAUAACUCCAGGGCCUCAUACAUGCUGGGCAAGCACUCUACCACUGAGGUAUACCGCAAAGCCCACUAUAUAUUACUUUUUUUUCUUUCAGUACCGGGGAUUGAACUCAGGUCCUUGCGCUUUUGAGGCAGGCAGCAUAACCACUGAGCUAAAUCCUCAGCCCCUAACUAUAUAUUACUGAAUCUCUGCUGUGUGAUGGGAGGAAAAAAGGGAGGAGAGCAGUUUUCCAGUGCUUCCUAGUGUGAGUACUGUGUUAACGAUGUGUGCUGAGCUGCAGCCACAGUGCCUAUAAAUGAAGGAGUCCUGCAGGCCGGAGUGACUCUGCCCCUUCCCACCAGUGUGACUCUGAGAAGUCCCUUAACUUCUCUGUGCCUCAGUUUCCCCAUUAGUAAGGAGCAAAAUAAUAACUCUGCAUAUGUGCAUGAUACACAGUGUUGUUUUAUAUGUUACAAAAUCACAUACAGUGCAUAUACAUAUGUACAUGUAUGUAAUAUGUACCAGUAAGCAGAACAUGUAAUGUGUACACAUGCAGCAUAUAUAUUUAUAGUAAAUAGUAACAUAUAAGGACUAUU
rnacentral:lncRNA from 1 species